AGUCGAACGGUGGUAGCAAUACCAUAGUGGCGCACGGGUGCGUAACACGUAACUAACCUACCUAUAACUGGGGGAUAGCCCGCCGAAAGGCGGAUUAAUACCGCAUAAGCUGUGAGGAUGGCAUCAUCCUUUUAGUAAAGAUUUAUUGGUUAUAGAUGGGGUUGCGGGUCAUUAGCUAGUUGGUAAGGUAACGGCUUACCAAGGCGACGAUGACUAGGGGAGCUGAGAGGCUGGUCCCCCACACGGGCACUGAGAUACGGGCCCGACUCCUACGGGAGGCAGCAGUAGGGAAUAUUGGGCAAUGGGCGAGAGCCUGACCCAGCCAUGCCGCGUGCAGGAAGAAGGCUUUCUGAGUCGUAAACUGCUUUUGACAGGGAAGAAUAAGCGCUACGUGUAGCGUGAUGACGGUACCUGCAGAAUAAGCACCGGCUAACUCCGUGCCAGCAGCCGCGGUAAUACGGAGGAUGCGAGCGUUGUCCGGAUUUAUUGGGUUUAAAGGGUGCGUAGGCGGCUUUUUAAGUCUGGGGUGAAAGCCCGCUGCUCAACAGCGGAACUGCCCUGGAUACUGGAGAGCUUGAGUACAGACGAGGUUGGCGGAAUGGACUGAGUAGCGGUGAAAUGCAUAGAUACAGUCCGGAACCCCGAUUGCGAAGGCAGCUGACUAGGCUGUUACUGACGCUGAGGCACGAAAGCGUGGGGAGCGAACAGGAUUAGAUACCCUGGUAGUCCACGCCGUAAACGAUGGAUACUCGCUGCGAGCUAAAGAUUGUUCGUGGCUUAGGGAAACCGAUAAGUAUCCCACCUGGGGAGUACGCUCGCAAGAGUGAAACUCAAAGGAAUUGAC
rnacentral:rRNA from 1 species